UUGAUUAAGUCUAUGGCUGUACCACCCAAUCUCAUCUGAUCUCAGAAGCUAAACAGGGUUGGGCCUGGUUAGUACUUGGAUGGGAGUCUUAGUCAAAUCCCAGGCUCUUUUUCAAA
ensembl:rRNA 5S_rRNA 5S ribosomal RNA